UCCUGGUUAACCCAGGCAGUCUCGCUAGAGUUCCCAACUUAAAUGAUGGCAACUAACGACAAGGGUUGCGCUCGUUGCGGGACUUAACCCAACACCUCACGGCACGAGCUGACGACAGCCAUGCAGCACCUGUGCACAGGCCCCGAAGGGAGGCUGCAUUUCUGCAGCUGUCCUGUGCAUGUCAAGCCUGGGUAAGGUUCUUCGCGUUGCAUCGAAUUAAACCACAUGCUCCACUGCUUGUGCGGGUCCCCGUCAAUUCUUUUGAGUUUCAGCCUUGCGACUGUACUUCCCAGGCGGUAUACUUAUCGCGUUCGCUACGGCACAGCCGGGGUUGAGUCCAGCUACACCAAGUAUACAUAGUUUACGGCAAGGACUAC
rnacentral:misc_RNA from 1 species